rnacentral:lncRNA from 1 species
UAUUCUUAUUAUAGUUGUAACUAUUUUUUAUUAAUUAAUAUAAAUAUAUUCGAUUAUUACCAAUUAUUCAUAAAUUUUCUAAAUAAUAAUUAAUUAAUGUUAAUAUAAUGAAUAUUUUUACCAAUAAUUCAAAAUACUAUUAUACGUGAUUGUUUAGUAAUAUUUGGUUAUUAUUAACUAUAAUUAUAAUAAUUAAUAAAAAAUUAAUAAUAUUUUAAUUUAAUUAAUAUCAAAAUUUAUAAUUAAUAAAAUAUUUUUAUUUAAUACAAAAAAUAAUAACUAAAUUAAUACAAGAAUUAAUUAAACAAUAUGCACCACCAUUUAAUAAUUGCUCUUUUAAAAUUUUCAUUUAACAACAUUU